rnacentral:misc_RNA from 1 species
GAUUAAACGAAAGAACAGAUGGACAACAUAUUGAAUUUAAAAAUCGCUCUUCCAUAAGAAACACGAAACGUAACUUAUCAUGCUCCUUCAUACUUGUGGCAUUCGAUUACCAAAAACAAAAACCAAAAAGAAACCAGAAAGAAAGACAGAGAAGAUUGAAAUUCCUUUGACUUGAAAUUGAAACCGCAAUUUCGAGCAUCGCAAAGCUAUCGGCUUUGAAUAAAAGCUUUUGAAAAUUCCUCGGCAAAUUCGAACGUGCUCGAUUAUAUCGGACUAAUGGAACUGGAAGUAUCGUUGUUCAGGAUCAGCAACAGCAAACCAGAGACCGCGGCAAACACGCCAGCGGACAUCAAACCAAGCGCCGGAAGCUUUUUGGAGGAAAGAAUUGGUCCAUCUUCGAGUUUGAGGUAGCACAGGCCAGGUAGAACGUAAGCUAGAGGUACAGCAGCGAGGAUUCCAUUCAAUUCGAGAACCACACCCAGACAAUCUGUUGACAUCGAUAUCAGAUAUGCGACAACCACUAUCGACAAAGUUAUUAUCAAGUAUUUCCGGUCGGAGUUAGGGAUGUAUGCAGUAUGAUCUUCGAGCUCAUCGGUCCCUUUAAUCGCUGUCAGUAUUACCUGGAACAAAUUUUCACAAAUUUUUCGACCUUACGUCGAACUUUUAAUCUUGUAUAUAAUUUUUUGUAUAAAUUUAUUAAAUAAUCGUCUUAACGGACAAUAAAUUCUAUGUGUUAUCGUUAGAUAAUCGCAGAUAUUCAUGCAUUUAUGGAAAAUUUCUCUAAAUCCUUUUCCUUCUCUUUACUCUCCCCGUCCAAUCCUAAUUUUUAUAGAAAAUCAGAGAGAGAUUUUAUAGAAAAUUAGAAAAACAGCGCGAGUAAUACAAAAUUAACUGUAAAUGUUCAUGCGAUAAUUAACAUUGCACAACAAAUAAUUUUCUGGCUUUAAUCGACAUUUAAGUGAGAUUUUAAGAAGAGGAGGAUUUAUAUGAAUAUAUCGGUUAAUUAGAAAUAAUUUAUGCGAAAAUGUUUCGAGAAAGCUUUACAAUUACACAACGAAAACUAGAGAUCGAUAAAAGGAGCAAUAAACCGAAUUAUGAAUAUUUUAUGAACCUCGAUACAAUUUUAUUAUUUGUUAUUAAUGCUUGAUGACGAAGGAAAAUUAAUUCAGUUCGUUAACAUAAAUUAUGAAUUUUGUUUAUCUUUUAUGGUGGUUGACCAGAACUUG